rnacentral:lncRNA from 1 species
ACUCUUUUGAUUCGGGCUUAUCAUCUUAGAGCAAUCCAUGGAUAUUUUACUGCCAUGAUGAUAAGGUCUCCUGAUUGAUCCUAUCCUUUUGAAACACUAAAGGACAUACCUGAGAUGGACAAACCAAAAUUAUUAAACUUUAUUAAUCCAAUAUUUGACACAGGAUAGACAAGAAUCAUAGCAUCUGGCUGAAGGCUUUAAACAUAGUACUUUUUGGGAGGCAAUCCAACCUUUUAUUUUUUCUAACCCUUUGUUUUAGUGAUUUUUAUUUUUUAGGAAUAAUAAACAACUCCUUAUGGAAGCAUCUGGCA